CGCAAGCCUGAUCCAGCAACGCCGCGUGGAGGACGAAGGUCUUCGGAUCGUAAACUCCUGUCAGGCGGGACGAAGGUCUCCGGGCGAACAGUCCGGAAGCUUGACGGUACUGCCAGAGGAAGCCCCGGCUAACUCCGUGCCAGCAGCCGCGGUAAUACGGAGGGGGCUAGCGUUAUUCGGAAUUAUUGGGCGUAAAGGGCGCGUAGGCGGCCCGGUAAGUCAAAGGUGAAAUCCCUCGGCUCAACUGAGGAACUGCCUUUGAAACUGCCGGGCUUGAGGCCGGGAGGGGGUAGCGGAAUUCCCAGUGUAGCGGUGAAAUGCGUAGAUAUUGGGAGGAACACCGGUGGCGAAGGCGGCUACCUGGACCGGUUCUGACGCUGAUGCGCGAAAGCGUGGGUAGCAAACAGGAUUAGAUACCCUGGUAGUCCACGCUGUAAACGAUGAGUGCUCGGUGUCGCGGGUAUCCGACCCCUGCGGUGCCUUAGCUAACGCGUUAAGCACUCCGCCGUGGGGAGUACGGUCGCAAGGCUAG
rnacentral:rRNA from 1 species